CGCGUAAAUAAUCUACCCCUGCAUUCGGGAUAACCCACCGAAAGGUGUGCUAAUACCGGAUACGUUCUUUUUAUCGCGAGAUAAAAAGAAGAAAGGUGGCCUCUGAUAUAAGCUACUGUGCGGGGAGGAGUUUGCGUACCAUUAGCUAGUUGGUAGGGUAAUGGCCUACCAAGGCAACGAUGGUUAGCGGGUCUGAGAGGAUGAUCCGCCACACUGGAACUGGAACACGGACCAGACUCCUACGGGAGGCAGCAGUGAGGAAUAUUGCGCAAUGGGGGCAACCCUGACGCAGCGACGCCGCGUGGAUGAUGAAGGCCUUCGGGUCGUAAAAUCCUGUCAGAUGGAAAGAAAUGUAUAUGUAUUAACAGUAUGUAUGCUU
rnacentral:rRNA from 1 species